rfam:Oryza barthii chromosome 10, whole genome shotgun sequence.
AUCCUAUGAUGAGGACAGACGGUGACGUACUCCUAUAACCCUUCCUGAGCUUCAGGAAUCGUCUCAUCUCUCGUGUUCUGAAAGCUAGAGAUUCUCUCGUGAAGGGC